CGAGGAUUAAGGGAUUAUUCAUUGAUUUUGUCCGUUUCUGGGGUGGCGGACUCCCCAUCUUUGUCAGAAUCAUUUUGGGUGGUUGGUGUUGGUCUGUGCUGGAAUGUAUGUUCAUCAGGAGACCGUGUAGAGCUGUAUCCCUAAUAGGAUGACAGUUCAUUCGAUUCAAUAUCCCACGCCUUCGUAUUAUGUGGUAAAAAUCUCGGGAUGAAGUUCUGUAAGUUCACCGGGAUUGUUGUCCAUUGCAACCCAUGUGAGUGUCGUAUUGUGCACACUUCUUCGUUGUAUUUCAGGAGGGCGGUGAUGAUGCAUAGUGCGGUCCUUGGAGUUGUUGUGUUCCAUGUAUACAGCCAGUGUGCAUCUUCCCAUAUCCUGAGUGGAUUCCCGUGUUUUUGUUUGAGGACUAUUUUGAUUCGCAUAUGUAGCAUGGUCUCUUUGGUCAUAUGGUUUCUGGCUGACUUCUUUCAAGCCUUUUCUUCAAGACCGUGUGGUAGCUGGAAGGCUACCGGUUGUUUUAGUGAAUGGCCUUGGAUUUUUGUCAACGUUUCUAGGAGGCCGUCUCGUUUUCUGUAAAAUACACGUAUUUUAACUGGAUUUGUGGUCGUUGCUUCUGGGAUUCUAUUGGACGCUAGUGCUGACCAGAAGCUAUUGUAAAGGUUCGACUUUGCCAAGCGGAUAGUUUUCGGGCACCUGGCGUUCGUCCUGAUAUGUGCCCUAUGACCAUGAAGUUCGCCAGGUAAGAUUCUGACACUAAGCCUGCCUUUCUACGGUGCUCUGGCUCCACCAGCUACUGAACUUCAGUCCAAUUUAUCGAAAAUGACUUGUAUUUGAUACGAAGUUUUCUACUAAAUACGUACUUUGUAUCACUGAUGGUUGCACAAAUCUAAAAACACUCUCCAAAUGCAGAGAAACUCUUUAAGUUGACAUUCCUAAAAUAUCGGAUCUAGGCCUGACAGUGCGGAUCCGAAUUUCACGGAGACCUAGGCCAAGCUCCUCAAGAGCCGAGUAUCCUAACCAUCUAGACUACAAUGGUGAGGAACUCGGCUCUUGUUUUAAGCAUUCAUACACUUGUAUUUAUAUAUAGUAUACGGAAUCCCCUGCACAGUUCUAACGCCAUCCCAUGCUUCAACAGCAUAUCACUAAUGACCGACGGACAGUACGAUCUGUGUUACGGACAAGGACACUCCAUAUUGCAACAGAAUUCGCUCCAAGAAUUUCCACAGCAAUGUUUUUGCUUCUCUACUCCCCCCAGUGAACAUGGCACUGCCUUGUAGUCAUGCACUGGGCGUCGAUAUACAGUAUGACGGAAGUCGAGGCAUAUGUGACAUUGCUAAGUUGGGCCAGCAUCAACUUCACUACCAUAACACAGGUCGCAAAAUUGAAACUAACACGUCGCAAAAUUGAAACCAAAGCAACAUUUGCGGGUUGACGGGGUCACACAAAACAAGUCACUUUCUACUAAUUCAAUGGAACCACUUCCUUCACCUCAAACAUGCCGGACAUAUCAAGCCAAACCCGCUUAACGACCUUAGUCGGCAUCCAUCCCGCCACAACCGAUCAGGACUAGCUGAAGGAAAAUCUUCAUUGCGGUUAGACCGAUACUGACAAUCAAGGUCGCACCACAUA